AGAGACUGAGAAGUCCUGUUUGCACAAAGAGAUUCCUCUCAAGCUGUAAGGUCAGAAAGCCUGAAGAAGAUAACAUCAUGCUGAAGAAGUCUGCUUAGAAACAGAAAAUGUUGGCUUCAUCUACAUGCUACCCAUUUGAACAUGGCUGCAAGGGGCUUAAAGGAGUUUAUCCUGCAGAUGUGUGUGAACCUGAUUUCUCAC